UAGUAACAAGAAUGUGUCCAAAGUACACGGAUGCCCCACUCACACUAUCAUUUUCUAUGUUCAAUGGACCAUGAAAUUGGAUAAACAAGAAUGUGUCCACAGUACACGGAUGCCCCACUCACACUAUCAUUUUCUAUGUUUAAAGGACUGUGAAAUUGGAAUAAAUUCUCUAAUUUGGCAUUAAAAUUAGAAUGAUCUUAUCAAAGGGAACAUGCAUACUAAGUUUCAAGUUGAUUGGACUUCUACUUUAUCAAAAACUACCUUGACCAAAAACUUUAACCUGAAAUUUGCACUAUCAUUUUCUAUGUUCAGUGAACCGUAAAAUUGGGGUCAAAACUCUAAUUUGGGCAUUUAAAUUAGAAAGAUCAUAUCAUAGGGCACAUGUAUACUAAGUUUCAAGUUCAUUGGACUUCAACUUCAUCAAAAACUACCUUGACCAAAAACUUUAACCUGAAGCCAAAAACUUUAACCUGAAAUUUGCACUAUCAUUUUCUAUGUUCAGUGAACCGUAAAAUUGGGGUCAAAACUCUAAUUUGGCAUUUAAAUUAGAAAGAUCAUAUCAUAGGGCACAUGUAUACUAAGUUUCAAGUUGAUUGGACUUCAACUUCAUCAAAAACUACCUUGACCAAAAACUUUAAC
rnacentral:lncRNA from 1 species